rnacentral:rRNA from 1 species
UACAGAGGUGGCAAGCGUUGUUCGGAAUUACUGGGCGUAAAGGGCUCGUAGGCGGCCAACUAAGUCGGAUGUGAAAUCCCCAGGCUUAACCUGGGAACUGCAUCCGAUACUGGAUGGCUUGAAUCCGGGAGAGGGAUGCAGAAUUCCAGGUGUAGCGGUGAAAUGCGUAGAUAUACUGGAGGAAUACCGGUGGCGAAGGCGGCAUCCUGGACCGGCAUUGACGCUGAUGAGCGAAAGCUAGGGGAGCAAACGGG